AAUUUUUAUUCAUUUUCUAGACUUUUAAAAAUGUUACUUUUUAACCUAUUAUUUAAUUUUAUGCUUUAAUUAUGUCGUAUUUUUUAAUUUGAGAGGUUGUGUGUGAUUAUUUUACACGUGAUUUAAUUUUUCAAAAUUGAGAUUUUAUUUCAAUAGGCAGAAGAAGAAGUGAGGAGUAAUAAUUUUUAGUAGCUAGAGAAAAUAGAGAGAGGUCAGAUGGUCCUUUUUAUUGAUCUAGGAUGAGUUGGGAAACCAUGUAGCUAGUAGGGGUGAGCAAAAACCGAACCGAACCGAAAAACCGAACCGAUCCAGACCAAAAAAGAUUAUGGAGUGGUUAAAAUGGUUAAAACGGAGUGGUUUGGUUUAGAAUUUUUAAGAUUUCCGGUUUUCGGUUAUGGUUUGGAUUUAGAGCUCGGUUAACCGAACCGAACCGAAAACCGAAAACCCUAAAACUCUGCCGUUUAAUGUAAUUUAGGAGGGGUUAUUUUGGAAUUUACUUACACCUAAAAAAUGAUGCCCUAAUUCACUAUCCCCAACCUGCCGUUUCCCACUCUUUCAUUUUUCACUCUAAUCUAAGCCUUUUCCCUUUCCUUCUCUCUAUUCUCUCAAAUUCUCCAUUGUUGGAUAAAUCUUGUUUCAAAAGUUUAAAAUUUUAUUUUUCUUCUCUAAAUUAUUAAAGUAUUCUACUGCACCUAAUUAUAAUAAACUCAAAAAAAAUUGAUAUUUCUUCCUCAAAUGAUCUAAACGGCUGCACAUAGUUUGUGAUUAGUAGAUUGAGCAUGCAGAUUUCUCGUCUUUUACGGACAACCAGCUUUUACUUUGGAUCUGUGGGUAAAGAAAGAGCUAAAGAAGAAAUUAACAAAUUUUAGUUGUUCUUGCAUUGUAGUUUUAGAUCGGUUGAUUAAAAUGUAAAAGAAAUUAACAAUCAAUUAAUGUAAUCAAACCACAUUUAUGUAUAUAGAAUUAUUUAUAUUUUUAUUUAUUCGAA